UGGCGGACGGGUGAGUAAUGUCUGGGAAACUGCCCGAUGGAGGGGGAUAACUACUGGAAACGGUAGCUAAUACCGCAUAACGUCGCAAGACCAAAGAGGGGGACCUUCGGGCCUCUUGCCAUCGGAUGUGCCCAGAUGGGAUUAGCUAGUAGGUGGGGUAACGGCUCACCUAGGCGACAAUCCCUAGCUGGUCUGAGAGGAUGACCAGCCACACUGGAACUGAGACACGGUCCAG
rnacentral:rRNA from 1 species